rnacentral:rRNA from 1 species
CCUACGGGAGGCAGCAGUGAGGAAUAUUGGUCAAUGGACGAGAGUCUGAACCAGCCAAGUAGCGUGAAGGAUGACUGCCCUAUGGGUUGUAAACUUCUUUUAUAUGGGAAUAAAAUGUUCCACGUGUGGGAUGUUGUAUGUACCAUAUGAAUAAGGAUCGGCUAACUCCGUGCCAGCAGCCGCGGUAAUACGGAGGAUUCGAGCGUUAUCCGGAUUUAUUGGGUUUAAAGGGAGCGUAGGUGGAUUGUUAAGUCAGUUGUGAAAGUUUGCGGCUCAACCCUGAUAUUGCAGUUGAAACUGGCAGUCUUGAGUAGAGGAGAGGUGUGCGGAAUUCGUGGUGUAGCGGUGAAAUGCAUAGAUAUCACGCAGAACUCCGAUUGCGAAGGCAGCUCACUGGACUGCAACUGACACUGAGGCUCGAAAGUGUGGGUAUCAAACAGGAUUAGAUACCCGUGUAGUC